GCACAGGACAAGAAAGUGACCUCACAAUGACUCAAGCUACCACAUACUGUUGAUUGUGAAAUGCCAGUUGAAGCAUAUGUCCUGCGAGCUUAGGGGUGCUACAAGUUGACCACAGCAGCAGUAAAGAUGACUCUGAAGAAUGGCAUGGGAUGGAUCCUUUCGAAUGCAUUUGAGCAGCGGUCUCCAACCACAGGGCCACAGAGCUGGAGGUGAGCAGCAGAUGGGAUGGCGGCCGGGCAGAGACGCUCCUCACUUUCCAG